UCCCCGGUAGCUCAGCGGUAGAGCAUCCGGCUGUUAACCGGAUGGUCGUCUGUUCGAAUCAGACCCGGGGAGCCA
rnacentral:tRNA from 1 species